UACGAAGGGGGCUAGCGUUGUCCGGAAUUAUUGGGCGUAAAGAGCUCGUAGGCGGUCUGUCGCGUCUGCUGUGAAAACUCGGGGCUUAACCCCGGGCCUGCAGUGGGUACGGGCAGACUAGAGUGCGGUAGGGGAGACUGGAAUUCCUGGUGUAGCGGUGAAAUGCGCAGAUAUCAGGAGGAACACCGGUGGCGAAGGCGGGUCUCUGGGCCGUAACUGACGCUGAGGAGCGAAAGCGUGGGGAGCGAACAGG
rnacentral:rRNA from 1 species